GUAAUUCUAGACGCACUUUCCAGUACACCUACUAUGUUACGACUUAUUUCACCUAUAAAUGAAAGCGACGGGCGAUAUGUACAUAAUUUAGAGCCUAUUUCUUGGGGACAUACUUUAUCCCCAAUACAAUUAAAUCCUCCUUCAUAUAAAUUUUCAUAUUAUAUUCCGUUUAAAUUAAUUUAUUGUAACCCAUUUAAACUUGCUCAUAAGCUGUACCAUGAUCUAAUUUUACUAGAUAAACUAAACCUAACAAUUUCUCUUUUUAGAAUCAUCUGAUAAUGAUGGUAUACAAACUAAACUACACAAGAGCAAGUAAGAUCCUACGCGGUGUAUCGAUUAAAAAACAGGUUCCUCUAAAAAGAUUAAACUACUGCCAAAUUUUUUAAUUUUUAAGUAUAUAACUCUUACUAAUCCAGUAUUUAUUCGUUUCAAUUUAGAAUAAUAGGGUAUCUAAUCCUAGUUUUAAACUAAAUUUAUUAAGUUUCAGCUCAAGUCUUAUUUGUUUAUAAACUAUAUUCUGAUUUUACCCUUUAUAGUAACUAAACUUUUCUACUCAACUAACCACUUUACUUUUAACUCAAACAUUUUUUCUUAACCUUGAAGUCUAACCGCGAAUGCUGGCACAAACAUUUAUCAGGUUUCCUUUAUAUUAUUAACUCACACUUGCGUGCAAACCUUAAUAAGCUAUGCUGAGAUUUUAUACAUUAUCAAUCUAAUUUCCACUUCAAAGUAAACCAGUAUCAAACUGACUCACUGAUCACUCAUCUAUAAUUUUCAUGCAAUCUUAAUAUAAACGAAAAAAUUUAAGCCAAAAUCAAACAUUUA
rnacentral:rRNA from 1 species